AGUCGAGGGGUAUAGGUUUUCGGACCUAGAGACCGGCGCACGGGUGCGUAACGCGUAUGCAAUCUACCUUUUACAGAGGGAUAGCCCAGAGAAAUUUGGAUUAAUACCUCAUAGUAUUAUUGAAUGGCAUCAUUUAGUAAUUAAAGUCACGACGGUAAAAGAUGAGCAUGCGUCCCAUUAGCUUGUUGGUAGGGUAACGGCUUACCAAGGCAACGAUGGGUAGGGGUCCUGAGAGGGAGAUCCCCCACACUGGUACUGAGACACGGACCAGACUCCUACGGGAGGCAGCAGUGAGGAAUAUUGGUCAAUGGGCGCAAGCCUGAACCAGCCAUGCCGCGUGCAGGAUGAAGCAUCUAUGGUGUGUAAACUGCUUUUGUACGAGAAGAAACACUCCUACGUGUAGGAGCUUGACGGUAUCGUAAGAAUAAGGACCGGCUAACUCCGUGCCAGCAGCCGCGGUAAUACGGAGGGUCCAAGCGUUAUCCGGAAUCAUUGGGUUUAAAGGGUCCGUAGGCGGUUUUGUAAGUCAGUGGUGAAAGCCCAUCGCUCAACGGUGGAACGGCCAUUGAUACUGCAAGACUUGAAUUAUUAGGAAGUAACUAGAAUAUGUAGUGUAGCGGUGAAAUGCUUAGAGAUUACAUGGAAUACCAAUUGCGAAGGCAGGUUACUACUAAUGGAUUGACGCUGAUGGACGAAAGCGUGGGGAGCGAACAGGAUUAGAUACCCUGGUAGUCCACGCCGUAAACGAUGGAUACUAGCUGUUCGGAGCAAUCUGAGUGGCUAAGCGAAAGUGAUA
rnacentral:rRNA from 1 species